rnacentral:tRNA from 1 species
GGGGGAUUAGCUCAGCUGGGAGAGCAUUUGGCUGGCAGCCAAAAGGUCAGGGGUUCGAAUCCCCUAUCCUCCACCA